rnacentral:rRNA from 1 species
AUACGUAGGGGGCGAGCGUUGUCCGGAAUGAUUGGGCGUAAAGGGCGCGUAGGCGGCGCGGUAAGUCUGGAGUGAAAGUCCUGCUUUCAAGGUGGGAAUUGCUUUGGAUACUGCCGCGCUUGAGUGCAGGAGAGGUUAUCGGAAUUCCCGGUGUAGCGGUGAAAUGCGUAGAGAUCGGGAGGAACACCAGUGGCGAAGGCGGGUAACUGGACUGCAACUGACGCUGAGGCGCGAAAGUGUGGGGAGCAAACAGGAUUAGAUACCCUGGUAGUUCACACUGUAAACGAUGAAUGCUAGGUGUAAGAGGUAUCGACCCCUUUUGUGCCGGAGUCAACACAAUAAGCAUUCCGCCUGGGGAGUACGGCCGCAAGGUUGAAACUUAAAGGAAUUGGCGGGG